rnacentral:rRNA from 1 species
AGUGAACGCUGGCGGCAGGCCUAACACAUGCAAGUCGAACGGCAGCACAAGAGAGCUUGCUCUCUGGGUGGCGAGUGGCGGACGGGUGAGGAAUACGUCGGAAUCUGCCUAUUUGUGGGGGAUAACGUAGGGAAACUUACGCUAAUACCGCAUACGACCUACGGGUGAAAGCGGAGGACCUUCGGGCUUCGCGCAGAUAGAUGAGCCGACGUCGGAUUAGCUAGUUGGCGGGGUAAAGGCCCACCAAGGCGACGAUCCGUAGCUGGUCUGAGGGGAUGAUCAGCCACACUGGAACUGAGACACGGUCCAGACUCCUACGGGAGGCAGCAGUGGGGAAGAUUGGACAAUGGGCGCAAGCCUGAUCCAGCCAUGCCGCGUGGGUGAAGAAGGCCUUCGGGUUGUAAAGCCCUUUUGUUGGGAAAGAAAAGCAGCCGGUUAAUACCCGGUUGUCAUGACGGUACCCAAAGAAUAAGCACCGGCUAACUUCGUGCCAGCAGCCGCGGUAACAC